UGCUCUAUUUCACUGGAUCCUUAUAAUAAUC
rnacentral:piRNA from 1 species